rnacentral:tRNA from 1 species
AUUUAAGUAGUUUAUGUUAAAAAAUAUAGGUUUGUGGUUCCUAAGAAGUUUUAUUUCCUUAAAUU